rnacentral:rRNA from 1 species
GAUGAACGCUGGCGGCGCGCCUAACACAUGCAAGUCGAACGAUUAAAGCACCUGCGGGUGUGUAUAAAGUUGCCAACGGCCGAGUGACACAUGGGUAAAUUGCCCCCCUCAUUGGCAUAGCCACGGUAAACCGUGGAGAAUACCUAAUACUUCAGGACUUCCGCAUGGAAGACUCGAGAAAGCUCCGGCGGUGGGGGAUGGGCCCGCGGCCUGUCAGCUUGUUGGUGGGGUAAUGGACUCCGACGGCAAUGAUGGGUAGCUGAGUUGAGAGAUCGAACAGCCACCAGGGGACUGCGAGAGGCAGCAGACGGGAACGGGAGGCAGCAGUCGGGAGCCUUGCACAACGGGCGCAAGCGUGUGGCAGCGACGCCCCGUGCGUGAUGCAGUCUUUCGGGUUGUGAACAGCUGUCAGCAGGGACGAGGCGAAAGUGACGGUACCUGCAGAAGAAGCCCCGGCUAACUACGUG